rnacentral:rRNA from 1 species
GACGAACGCUGGCGGCGCGCCUAACACAUGCAAGUCGAACGGUGAAGAGGAGCUUGCUCCUCGGAUCAGUGGCGGACGGGUGAGUAACACGUGAGCAACCUGGCUCUAAGAGGGGGACAACAGUUGGAAACGACUGCUAAUACCGCAUAACGUAUCGGGAUGGCAUCUUCCUGAUACCAAAGAUUUAUCGGUGAUGGAUGGGGAUGCGUCUGAUUAGCUUGUUGGCGGGGUAACGGCCCACCAAGGCGACGAUCGGUAGCCGGACUGAGAGGUUGAACGGCCACAUUGGGACUGAGACACGGCCCAGACUCCUACGGGAGGCAGCAGUGGGGAAUAUUGCACAAUGGGGGAAACCCUGAUGUAGCGACGCCGCGUGGAGGAAGAAGGUCUUCGGAUUGUAAACUCCUGUUGUUGGGGAAGAUAAUGACGGUACCCAACAAGGAAGUGACGGCUAACUACGUG